GCACCUUAAUUUUAUUGCCACCAAUUUUUCUCCCCUUAGUCUCUUUUACAGCUGCUUGUGCAUAUUCAAUCUCAUUGUAAAGAACCAAGGCCAUGCCUUUUAAACGGUCAAACACCACCUGCAAAAGACAACAAAACAAGGCUGGCCUCGAACUCAAAAGUGAUCUUCCUGCCUCAGUCUCCCAAGUGCUAAGAUGGUGUGCACUACCAUGCCUGGCUACUUCGCUCUCAACGCUGACUGACUACUGUGCUGUAUUUAAGUGAAGCAUUUACUUUUGGUGGAAGGAGAAAGGAGGGCAGGCAGACAGGCAGGCACUCUUGAAAAGGAGGGACAAAAUUACAAUAUUGAAUCAACAAAAAAUUUUAAUGAAUUUUGACUAUCAGUAGCACUACUAUCCUAAGGCUGCUGUAUUUUUAGACAAGCAAUCUUGAAGAUAAGCACAUCCCCAAACAACAAAAGUUAAAAUGAAGCUAAUGUCAAAAGUUAUACAGAGCAUAUGGGCCUUUAGCUUAAAGCUCAGGUGUCCUGUGUGCUAGGAGGUCUAGGUUGCUGCUUUGUAGCCCUGAUCUCCAGUGACCUGCAGGGGUCAGAGACCCCCUGGGAGGGUAUAGAAACCCUGGAAACCAGAAAUGUUUUUGCAACAAAGCCAAUUCUCCCUUUUCUUGAGCUGAUGGAAGCCAUGCAGGUCCCAGGAGGAGAAAACAAGAAGCCAACUGUAUUUAGGCUAGGAGACAAGAACCCUGCCUUCCCAAACCACCAGCUGACCUGUCAGAGGUACCCAGACUGAGUUGAUAGCAACUAAAGUACAAGAACAGCUUAAUGCUUAUAUUGUCUGACUGAUUUUGUAGAGCUGGUGACAGCAUCUUUUGAGAGGAUAAAAAUAUGAAAUAUAGUAAAUACGGGGAAUUUCUGUUUUGUCUUUGAAAUCCAAUAUUGUUUUCAAUGCUGUGUUCUCUUUUAUUGUUUGGUUUUCUUUCUUUUUUUUUUUUUUUAUUGGUACCGGGAAUCAAACUCACGACCGCAGGCUUGCAAGGCAGGUGCUUAUGCCACUGAGCUAAAUCCCCAGCCCUUAUUGUUUGUUUUCUUCAGUGUUCCAUUUUGAUUUUAUUGUGUCUGAUGGUAUGGGCAGCAAUUUUGAAAGACAAGAGGCAUUAUGGCAGCCAUUGUUGAUUUCCUAUUAUCCUGUUUUGAAGUACUAUAUCACUUCCACUGUUUUGUUUUGAUUGGGUUUUUUCUGUUUUAUUUUGGUUUUAUUCUCUUUAAAAUAAAAUUUAAGCCAGUGAUAUAGUUCAGUGGCACAGUGCCUGCUAGACAAGCAGGUCUUGAGUUCAAUUCCUGCCACCCCCCCACAAAAGAAUAAAUAAUUAAAAAUAAAAUUUAAAAGAAAGAAUUAAAGCUUUACCGUCACACAAUGGAAUUAUAUCCAGAGCUCCUGUUCCCUUGAUUGUGUGUUAUAUAACAAACACUGAUUAAAUGAAUAUUCUGCUAUGUGAACUUAACUGCACCUGUCUGCCUGAGUUCGAUUCCAAGUACCAAAAACAAGAACAAAAAGCUGGGUGUGGUGGCACAGGCCUGUAAUUUCAGUACUCAGGGAGACUGAGGCAGAAAGAUUGUUGCAAAUUCAAGAGGAGCCUGGGCUACCCAGUGAGCUCACGGCCUAAACUGCAUAGCAAGGCAAGACCCUGUCACAAAAAGAUGAAAAAGAAAAAACCCAAAAUACAAGUCAAACUACAUUUCUAGUGUAAAAGAGAUUAAUUAGAAUUUUAUUUUUAUUUUUUUGGGGGGUACCAGGGGUUGAACUCAUAACCUUGUGCUUAUCAAGCAAGCACUUGAACCGCUGAGCUAAAUCCUCCCUCCUUAUUUAUUUACUCUUUUUGAGACAGGGUCUCGCCAUAGUUCUGGCAGGCCUUGAGCUCACUUUGUAGCCCAGGCUGGUCUCAAACUCGCAAGGAUCCUCCUGCCUCAGCCUCCCGAGCGCUGGGAUUACAGGCAUGAGCUUCCAUGCCUGCCCUCUCCCUUUUCAAGACAAAGUCUCAUUAGGUGACCCAGGCUAGCAGCCUCAAUCCCGUAAUCUUCCUGCCUUAGUGUACAAAUUUUAAUGUGAGAUAGAAUUACAAAGAUCUCUAAGAAAUAUUGCUUUGUUUUGUUGUUUUUUGUGUAAUGUGCUAGGGUCCCACUGACAAUAUAGCCUAGGCUGGCAUCUAACUCAGUGAUCUUCUUGCCUCUGCCUCCCAAAUGCUAGGAUUACAAGCAUGCACCACCAUGCCCGCUUUGUUUGUUUGUUUGUUUUAUCGGUACCAGGGAUCACACUCAUGACUGCCUGCUUGCAAGGCAGGCACUUAGGCCGCUGAGCUAAAUCCCCAGACCACUUUGUUUUGUUUUUUGAGACAGGGUGACCCUGUGUAGUUCAAACCAGCCUUGAACUCACAAUGUAGCCCAAGCAGGCUUUAAAUUCACCAAGUUCUUCCUGCUUCAGCCUUCCAUGUACUGGAUUACAGAUGUGUGCCACCACACCCAGAAUUAUUUUAUUUUAUUUAAUUGUAGAGAAAUUUCAAAUUUUAAAAAAAAUCUCAAGUGUCAUGGUUUAUGUAGGUGGCCCCUAGGCCUCAUGUGUUUGCAUUAUGCAUCUGUGAUUGUUCAUUCUCUAGCACUUAGAUUGAUGAUGUCAGAGCUACACCCAGAUAGAGGUGUGUGUGUGUCUCUCUCUUGCCAGUUUCUGCCUUGUCGUUUGCAGCCACCAUGAACUGCAGCCCUGCCAUGUCACCCUGCCUUGGAGGCAACUGAGUAUGGAUUGAAACUUCCAAAAACUGUGAGAAAUAAACCUUUCCUUCCCCAA